rnacentral:rRNA from 1 species
ACUUUGAUGAGAGUGGCGCACGGGUGCGUAACGCGUAUGCAACCUACCUUUAACAGGGGAAUAGCCCCGAGAAAUCGGGAUUAAUACUCCGUAACAUUGCGGUGUGGCAUCACACUGCACUUAAAGCUGAGGCGGUUAAAGAUGGGCAUGCGUGACAUUAGCUAGUUGGUGAGGUAACGGCUCACCAAGGCAACGAUGUCUAGGGGUCCUGAGAGGGUUAUCCCCCACACUGGUACUGAGACACGGACCAGACUCCUACGGGAGGCAGCAGUAAGGAAUAUUGGUCAAUGGGCGCAAGCCUGAACCAGCCAUGCCGCGUGCAGGAAGACGGCCCUAUGGGUUGUAAACUGCUUUUGUCAGGGAAUAAACCCCCGCUCGUGAGCGGGGCUGAAGGUACCUGAAGAAUAAGCAUCGGCUAACUCCGUGCCAGCAGCCGCGGUAAUACGGAGGAUGCAAGCGUUAUCCGGAUUCAUUGGGUUUAAAGGGUGCGCAGGCGGAUUGGUAAGUCAGGGGUGAAAUCCCACAGCUCAACUGUGGAACUGCCUUUGAUACUGUCAGUCUAGAGUAUAGUUGAAGUUGGCGGAAUGUGUCAUGUAGCGGUGAAAUGCUUAGAUAUGACACAGAACACCGAUCGCGAAGGCAGCUAGCUAAGCUAUAACUGACGCUCAUGCACGAAAGCGUGGGGAUCAAACAGGAUUAGAUACCCUGGUAGUCCACGCUGUAAACGAUGAUUACUCGAUGUUGGCGAUACACAGUCAGCGUCUGAGCGAAAGCAAUAAGUAAUCCACCUGGGGAGUACGAUCGCAAGAUUGAAACUCAAAGGAAUUGACGGGGGCCCGCACAAGCGGAGGAGCAUGUGGUUUAAUUCGAUGAUACGCGAGGAACCUUACCUGGGCUCGAACGUAAGAUGACUGUAGGUGAAAGCUUACAUCUCUUCCGGAGCAUUUUACGAGGUGCUGCAUGGUUGUCGUCAGCUCGUGCCGUGAGGUGUCGGGUUAAG